UGCAAGUCGAACGGUGAAGCCCAGCUUGCUGGGUGGAUCAGUGGCGAACGGGUGAGUAACACGUGAGCAAUCUGCCCCUGACUCUGGGAUAAGCGCUGGAAACGGCGUCUAAUACUGGAUAUGAACCGUGGAGGCAUCUUCAACGGUUGGAAAGAUUUUUUGGUCAGGGAUGAGCUCGCGGCCUAUCAGCUUGUUGGUGAGGUAAUGGCUCACCAAGGCGUCGACGGGUAGCCGGCCUGAGAGGGUGACCGGCCACACUGGGACUGAGACACGGCCCAGACUCCUACGGGAGGCAGCAGUGGGGAAUAUUGCACAAUGGGCGCAAGCCUGAUGCAGCAACGCCGCGUGAGGGAUGACGGCCUUCGGGUUGUAAACCUCUUUUAGCAGGGAAGAAGCGAAAGUGACGGUACCUGCAGAAAAAGCGCCGGCUAACUACGUGCCAGCAGCCGCGGUAAUACGUAGGGCGCAAGCGUUAUCCGGAAUUAUUGGGCGUAAAGAGCUCGUAGGCGGUUUGUCGCGUCUGCUGUGAAAUCCCGAGGCUCAACCUCGGGUCUGCAGUGGGUACGGGCAGACUAGAGUGCGGUAGGGGAGAUUGGAAUUCCUGGUGUAGCGGUGGAAUGCGCAGAUAUCAGGAGGAACACCGAUGGCGAAGGCAGAUCUCUGGGCCGUAACUGACGCUGAGGAGCGAAAGGGUGGGGAGCAAACAGGCUUAGAUACCCUGGUAGUCCACCCCGUAAACGUUGGGAACUAGUUGUGGGGUCCAUUCCACGGAUUCCGUGACGCAGCUAACGCAUUAAGUUCCCCGCCUGGGGAGUACGGCCGCAAGGCUAAAACUCAAAGGAAUUGACGGGGACCCGCACAAGCGGCGGAGCAUGCGGAUUAAUUCGAUGCAACGCGAAGAACCUUACCAAGGCUUGACAUAUACGAGAACGCUGCAGAAAUGUAGAACUCUUUGGACACUCGUAAACAGGUGGUGCAUGGUUGUCGUCAGCUCGUGUCGUGAGAUGUUGGGUUAAGUCCCGCAACGAGCGCAACCCUCGUUCUAUGUUGCCAGCACGUAAUGGUGGGAACUCAUGGGAUACUGCCGGGGUCAACUCGGAGGAAGGUGGGGAUGACGUCAAAUCAUCAUGCCCCUUAUGUCUUGGGCUUCACGCAUGCUACAAUGGCCGGUACAAAGGGCUGCAAUACCGUAAGGUGGAGCGAAUCCCAAAAAGCCGGUCCCAGUUCGGAUUGAGGUCUGCAACUCGACCUCAUGAAGUCGGAGUCGCUAGUAAUCGCAGAUCAGCAACGCUGCGGUGAAUACGUUCCCGGGUCUUGUACACACCGCCCGUCAAGUCAUGAAAGUCGGUAACACCUGAAGCCGGUGGCCCAACCCUUGUGGAGGGA
rnacentral:rRNA from 1 species